ensembl:snRNA U6 U6 spliceosomal RNA
AUGCUUCAGCAGCAUGUUUUCCCAAAUUACAACAAUAUGGAGAUUAACAUGGCCCUUGAAAAAGGAUGAUAUGAAAAUUUGUGAAGUAUUUCCUAUUUUU